rnacentral:rRNA from 1 species
CUACAUAUCAAUGAAGCGGAGGAAGAACCAACAGGGAUUGCCUCAGUAACGGCGAGUGAAGCGGCAACAGCUCAAAUUUGAAAUCUGGCGCCUUCGGCGUCCGAGUUGUAAUUUGUAGAGGAUGCUUCGGCGUUGGCGCCGCCCAAAGUUCCUUGGAACGGGACGUCGCAGAGGGUGAGAGCCCCGUGUUCGGGCGGAUGCCUUCGCCGUGUGAAGCUCCUUCGACGAGUCGAGUUGUUUGGGAAUGCAGCUCAAAACGGGAGGUAAAUUUCUUCCAAAGCUAAAUACCGGCCGGAGACCGAUAGUGCACAAGUAGAGUGAUCGAAAGAUGAAAAGCACUUUGGAAAGAGAGUCAAACAGCGCGUGAAAUUGUUAAAAGGGAAGCGCUUGCGGUCAGAACUUGGCCGCCGUUGCUCGGGGAGGUCUCGCGCCUCCCUCGCUCUUCGGCGGCUGGGCCAGCAUCGGUUCGGGCGGCUCGAGAAAGGCCGUGGGAACGUGGCUCCCUCCGGGGAGUGUUAUAGCCCGCGGCGCAAUAGGGCCCGCCUGGAUCGAGGUCUGCGCAUCUGCUCGGAUGCUGGCGUAAUGGCCGCAAGCGGCCCGUCUUGAAACACGGACCAAGGAGUCUAACAUUCGUGCGAGUGUUCGGGCGUCAAACCCGUGCGCGUAAUGAAAGUGAACGUAGGUGGGAACCCCUCGUGGGCGCACCAUCGACCGAUCCUAAUGUCUUCGGAUGGAUUUGAGUAUGAGCACGUAUGUUGGGACCCGAAAGAUGGUGAACUAUGCCUAAACAGGGUGAAGCCAGAGGAAACUCUGGUGGAGGCUCGCAGCGGUUCUGACGUGCAAAUCGAUCGUCAAAUUCGGGCAUAGGGGCGAAAGACUAAUCGUCCAGCUGGUAGCUGGUUCUGCGUCUCUCUCUCUCAAGAGAGAGAACC